rnacentral:rRNA from 1 species
UAACCUGCCUUGGAUGGGGAAUAACAGCUGGAAACAGCUGCUAAUACCGCAUGAUGCAGUUGGGUCGCAUGGCUCUGACUGCCAAAGAUUUAUCGCUCUGAGAUGGACUCGCGUCUGAUUAGCUAGUUGGCGGGGCAACGGCCCACCAAGGCGACGAUCAGUAGCCGGACUGAGAGGUUGGCCGGCCACAUUGGGACUGAGACACGGCCCAGACUCCUACGGAAGGCAGCAG